rfam:Schistosoma mansoni strain Puerto Rico chromosome 6, complete genome
GUCCAACUGACGAGUCCCAAAUAGGACUCGACGCGCGUCCUGGAU